GAUGAACGCUGGCGGCGUGCCUAAUACAUGCAAGUCGAGCGAACAUACGAGGAGCUUGCUCCUCUGACGUUAGCGGCGGACGGGUGAGUAACACGUGGAUAACCUACCUAUAAGACUUGGAUAACUUCGGGAAACCGUAGCUACUACCGGAUAAUAUAUUCAACCUCAUGGUUUAAUAGUGUAAUACUGUUUUGCUGUUACUUAUAGAUGGAUUCGCGCCGCAUUAGCUAUUUGGUAAGGUAACGGCUUACCAAGUCAACGAUGCGUAGCCGACCUGAGAGGGUGAGCGGCCACACUGGAACUGAGACACGGUCCAGACUCCUACGGGAGGCAGCAGUAGGGAAUAGUCAGCAAUGGGCGAAAGCGUGACGGAGCAACGCCGCGUGAGUGAUGAAGGUCUUCGGAUCGUAAAACGCUGUUAUUAGGGAAGAACAAAUGUGUAAGUAACUAUGCACGUGGUGACGGUACCUAAUCAGAAAGCCACGGCUAACUACGUGC
rnacentral:rRNA from 1 species